rnacentral:rRNA from 1 species
UGGGGAAUAUUGCACAAUGGGCGCAAGCCUGAUGCAGCCAUGCCGCGUGUAUGAAGAAGGCCUUCGGGUUGUAAAGUACUUUCAGCGGGGAGGAAGGCGAUAAGGUUAAUAACCUUGUCGAUUGACGUUACCCGCAGAAGAAGCACCGGCUAACUCCGUGCCAGAAGCCGCGGUAAUACGGAGGGUGCAAGCGUUAAUCGGAAUUACUGGGCGUAAAGCGCACGCAGGCGGUCUGUCAAGUCGGAUGUGAAAUCCCCGGGCUCAACCUGGGAACUGCAUUCGAAACUGGCAGGCUAGAGUCUUGUAGAGGGGGGUAGAAUUCCAGGUGUAGCGGUGAAAUGCGUAGAGAUCUGGAGGAAUACCGGUGGCGAAGGCGGCCCCCUGGACAAAGACUGACGCUCAGGUGCGAAAGCGUGGGGAGCAAACA